UACGUAGGGUGCGAGCGUUAAUCGGAAUUACUGGGCGUAAAGUGUGCGCAGGCGGUUUUGUAAGUUUGUCGUGAAAGCCCCGGGCUCAACCUGGGAAUUGCGAUGAAGACUGCAAGGCUUGAAUCUGGCAGAGGGGGGUAGAAUUCCACGUGUAGCAGUGAAAUGCGUAGAGAUGUGGAGGAACACCGAUGGCGAAGGCAGCCCCCUGGGUCAAGAUUGACGCUCAUGCACGAAAGCGUGGGGAGCAAACAGG
rnacentral:rRNA from 1 species